AUUGAACGCUGGCGGCAGGCCUAACACAUGCAAGUCGAGCGGAGCGGCGGACGGGUGAGUAAUGCCUAGGAAUCUGCCUGGUAGUGGGGGAUAACGUCCGGAAACGGGCACUAAUACCGCAUACUAUCAGAUGAGCCUAGGUCGGAUUAGCUAGUUGGUGGGUUAAAGGCCUACCAAGGCGACGAUCCGUAACUGGUUUGAGAGGAUGAGAAGUCACACUGGAACUGAGACACGGUCCAGAUUACUACGGGAGGCAGCAGUGGGGAAUAGUGGACAAUGGGCGAAAGCCUGAUCCAGCCAUGCCGCGUGUAUGAAGAAGGUCGUCGGAUUGUAAAGCACUUUAAGUUGGGAAGCGGUACCAACAGAAUAAGCACCGGCUAACUUCGUGCCAGCAGCCGCGGUAAUAC
rnacentral:rRNA from 1 species